CGGGGUAUUGUAAUUCGCGCACAAGGUCGCGAGCCAUCGACGCGCCGGUUUUGCGCAUCUCUUGCUUUCUUAUCGUAAACUGUCACGUCGUUGCUUGCUCGGCUACGACAUGCGCUAUCGAUGAUUUGCAACCAGUUUCGUGUCGGUCGCUAGGUAGUUCAGACGUGGUUUGACCAACUCGUAUUGUUUGUUCGGUGUUCUGCUUUCUAAAUUCACAUUAUAUUCGAUCAUCAAUCCACUAUUUAAUUGUAACUACUAUAGUAGUGUUAUUUACUAUUUCCGCGUUUAAUGUACAUUAUUGUACAAAAUUGGUAGAUAUUUGAUCGCGUUUCGUGUUCAUACUUAUGCAAGUGACGAGGUUCGGUGUCGGUCGCUAAAUGAAUUGGAUAUUGGAUGGCUCCUAUGUAGAUUUAUUGAUCAUUGUCUCUGUCACUUGCUGUGCUGUGGUGACUGAUGCGCAUAACAAUUCGUAAGUUUAUAAUUCAAUCAUAUUUCUCCUUCUAAUUUACGCGACAAACAUUUAUUGCUUCAUUACGUACAGUGACCGCGAAAGUUAUUCGAAAUAUCGAAUAUUUCAAUACUUGCGGUGGUAAACGAUUCAUAUUUCGCGAAUCCUUCGUUAUAUUUUUUCAGCAUAUGAGCAUACUCGUAAUGCGAGUUGUAGAACAUGUGGUCUUUCUGUUUCAGUACUUUCUGUGAUUACCCGAAACACUAGUAAGUUUGUAAACAUUUUCACAAUAUAAUUAUAUUUUUAUCUUAAAUUACUUGUAUCGAGAGUACUGUAAUAACUCAAAAUUGAUUCGUGCUGUCGGGUGCGUCAGACUCGCUGCAGAUUGUAGGGUAUUCCAUGUCGAUCGUCGCUUUAAGAGGGUAUUCUACUCUAGAGGCAUGAAUUUCAUGUGAUUUUUGAAAGGCCGUAAAAAAAAUCAAUUAAUAUUUUUACUAUCCAUUUUUUUAACACUUAUUUAUUAAUGUUUUGAGAAUACAAAAAAAAAAUAAAAACUGAAAAAAGUUCAAAAUUUUAAAUUCCAGCAGGUGAUGAAGUGGGAGGUCCCAAAAAAUUGGCAGGUGACCGUACCCAUGAUUUUAGCCCUCCAAGUGAUCUGAAUUAAUCUAGAAUAAUUAAUUAUUAAUCUAGAAUAAUGUCGCAAUCAUAUGAACUACGGCCAAGUGAAAAAAAAGUUUUUCACAAAAUGGCGACUGUGAUUUUUUCACCCUUAUUUUUUGAUAUUCAAAAUUGCACUAAUUUGUUGUUUCCAAGUGUUUUUCUUCUUGAAUUAGUUGUUUUCUUUUGUAGUUGUUUUCUAAUGUAGUAAUUUCCUGAUUAUAACACACUGUUUAUAAUUUUCGUUGAUCUUUCAACCCGAAUUGAAAUAAUUUGUUUUAUUUUUCUAUUUACUUUGGUUGGGUAUCUGCCCUAUCUUUCUUCCAGCCCUCUAACCAUUCCGUGAGUGGCCUAAAAUGCCUUUAAAAAUUAGUUGCUUUCAAAAAAAUAAAACAUGCUGUGGAAAACACCCUGUAUCUCAUGAACUUUCUUGAAGUUUCUUUUCAUCAUAUUAGAGUUCGAGAGAUUAUCUACACGAUACAACCCCCUUUCAAUUCUGUAACCCUUCUGGAAGUGCCCUAAAUGCCCUUGAAAAAUAGCUGUUUUUGUGCCAUAAAUUUCUGAUGCUUUCUUUUUUAAACAUAGCAUUUCCUUUUUGCAACACCCUGUAUAUUUAUUUUCCUUGGUCCAAACAAAAAAUUGACUAAAUUUCUUGUUUUUAUUGUAUUUAAUUUUCCGUUUGUUACACCCUGUAUAUUAAUUUUCGUUGAUUUUUAAUUCAAAUUGUGCAUGCAGUUUACAUUAUUUUAUUUAAUUUAGUUAUAAAGAAAUGUGAAAACAGAUUGUGACUUGUAUUAUUUGUGUGCACCCCUUCUACCAUUUCAAGUACAGGCACUAAAAUAUUUCUGUUUUGCGGUGGCUCUAAUGGAGUCGACACUUAGAAAAAUAGAAACGGUACUACGUAUUAUCCGGCUAUAUAUUCACCCCCUUCACCAUACUGGCCGUGGAGAGCGGGAAAGAGGAUAGUUUAGCGGACUGCAGCAUUUUUUUUUAUUUCAAUAGUUGCAUAGGUAUAUCAUUAUUUUUAAUAUCUGUAUCUCGUAAAUUGUUUCACUUUUUACCGUUUUUUUUACCGUCAUGUUAGAGCGGACGAAUUCCUCUACAAGAUUCAUAUACCCCUCCUACCUACCAGCCUUAUAGAAAGUGCCCCAUAAUGCUCUUCAAAAAUGAACAAUUUUAGGAAAAUUUAAAAACAUGGUGUGGAUAACACUCUGUAUCUAGUGAACUAAUUGACUUGCUUAAAGUUUCUCCACGCUAGAAUGGAAUUAGAAAGUUCCUCUACAAGAUGCAUACCCUACAACCUCUCAACUCUUCCGGAAGUGCCUUAAAAUGCCCUUGAAAAAUGAGCAAUUUUUCGAAAAUUUUGAAAACAUAGAGUGGAAAUCACCCUGUAUCUAGUGAACUAAUAGGCUUCCUUAGAGUUUCACCACGCCAAAAUAGAGUUAGAGAGUUCCUCUACACGAUAAAUACCCUUUCAACCUUCCAGCCCUUCCAGAAGUGCCUUAAAAUGCCCUUCAAAAAUCAGAAUUUUUAGGAACAUUUGCUAAGCUGGGGUGGAAAUCACCCUGUACCUCCGAAACUAAUUGACGCUCUUGGAGUUUCUCCACGCCAGAAUAGAGUCAGGGAGUUUGCCUACACGAUGCAUACCUUUUUAACCUUCCAGCUCUUUCAGAAGUGCCCUAAAACGUCUUUCAAAAAUGAACAAUUUAAAAAAAAAUUGAAAACAGGGUGGAAAGCACCCUGUAUCUCGUAAACAAAUUGACUAUCUUCUAGUUUUUCCACGCCAGAAGAGAAUCAGGGAGUUUGUCUACACGAUACAUACUCUUUAUACCUUCCAGCCCUUUCGGAAGUGCCCUAAAAUGCUCUUCCAAAAUGAGCAAUUUUUGGAAAAUUUGAAUUGAUUUUCUUGAAGUUUCUCAACGUCAUGUUAACGUUCGUAACGACGUAAUGACGUAAAGGGUAUUUUUUACACUAUGUAUACCUUAACUCUAUAAACCCUUUGGAAGUAUCUUAAAUUCCCAUGAAAUUUCAGUUUUUGGUCGAAUAACAGGGUCGAACUUUAUUAAUAAAUAUUUUUCGAUCGAAGAACAGGAUCGAUCUUUUAUUCAUAAAAUUUUUUCGGUUGAAUUUUUUUAUUAAAAUUUUUUCGGUCGGAUUUUUUUGUUAAAAUUUUUUUGGUCGAAAAACAGGAUCGAACUUUUUUACUUCAAAUUUUUGGGUCAAAAACAGGAUCGAAAUUUUUUAUUUUUAUGUAUUUGUUGAAAUAAAAUAUUUCGUCAUAAAAAGGCAAAAGAUUUCUCCUUUUUAUGUCGAAGGCAGUUUUCACUAAAAUUUGCAAAUAGGGCCUAAACGGUUAAUCUUAGGAAAAAAAGUUACUAAAACAAUCGAUGUAGAAUUAAAAGAACAGUUUAAGUAUUUAUUAUUCUAACAUUUCAUAUAUUAUAUAACAUAACAUAUAACAUAUUCUAACUGCCUUUUAAAUUAAACAAGAAUUAAUCUAUAAUUUUGAUACCGGCGUCCGAUUCAUAAUUUAAUCGAAAUUAGAAGUUCCAUGCAUUGUACGAGUACAAUUCUUUUCAUGUUCUGCAUUACCACACUGAAUGUAUCAGUGUUUACAAACAAACAAGUUUUCUUAUCUCGUGCAAUUUUUGCACAGUUCGCGACGCGGUUGGCUUGCCUACCACGUCAGUCCCAUAUUUGUCGUCGCGUAGUCUGCACGCACAUUUUCUUCACAAUAAUUUGAGUUCCUUAAUUUCUUCGCGUCAUUACGUAUUAUUUCUAAAUGCUCCUUCCAUUGUGCGCGAGUGAUGUGCGGUGUUCGUUAAAUGCGAAUUGUUUAUACUCAGAGGUAGAACGUGAGUGGGGUUCCGUCGGCCGUUGGAUACUCUUUUUGUAUGACACGCGUAUUUAAUCAUUUCUACAAUGUGCAUAAUUAAGGUCCUUACAAUUUAUUGGAAUGGCCAAAAGCGCAAAAAUUAAUUUUGCAUCAAGGUAUGUUCUCCCAUUUCUUAAGCCAUUUGAAAAUCAAAUCCAUUAUUGCCUUUACUUGUUUUUACUUCAACUGCGUGGUCUUUAAGCCUACAAAUAAUUUUUGGUCCCUGUUUCAAUACCUUUGAUUUGCAUUACGUAUUUGAUACCUUGUUUUUUUUUGUUUGAUGUACAAAUUAAAAAGAUUAAGAUAGUCGCGUGCCGUCGGCUGCGUUCUUGAUCCUCUGGCGGCUUUCUGGGCUGGUCGCUGGUUGUUUUACAUAAUUUAAAAUAAAAUUCUGCUUUGUGCUUUAUUCUUGUAAUAUCCAACCCAUCACUUUUCCUUCAUAUCCAGAGAAAAUACAAUUAUUGAAAUGUUCUAUUUUUAUGUUUUCUUACUUUUCACUUUUCUUUGAUUUUUGGUGUAAACAUUUUGAUUUUUUUUAAAUUCCUGAUGGUUUUCUUCUUAUAUUAUUUUGUUAUUGUCGUUUUGUUAAUUGUGUCCAUCCGUUUUCCGAAUUAAAUCUUAAUUUUUCUUUAGGUAUCACCCAGUAGAUAUAUUUUCCUUAUAAUUUAAUAGGCUAUAUUUAUUAGUGUUUGGGCGUUUUACUUUUAAAAUUUUGAGUUUUCUUUUUAUAACACCCUGUAUAUUAAUUUCCCGUAGUAUCAAAAGAGGAUAAAUAUAUGUUAUCUCAUUUAAAAUUAAGAUUUUCCUUUAAAAUAUUGUAGUUUUCUUUUUGUAUCACCCUGUAUUAUAAUUUUCCGUAAUUGGUUUUUGUAACAUCCUGUAUACUAAUUUCCCGUGGUGAAUUUGUCAAAAGGGGAAAGAUAUAUGUCAUCCUACUUAAACUUAGUAGUUUUAUGGUGCUAUUCUGAGCAGCACCCGAAGUGCCAUCGAACGAACGCAAAUUGCGAUUCUGAGUGGCCAACGGAGGUCUUUUGGAGGGUUCGGGUCGCCUCAAUUUUUCGAGCAGCUUGAGGGUGCCGAUAGCCUUCGUAACAUAUUAUACGCAUGCGCUGCUCUCUUGGCGUGGGUGAAACUGCCUUACCGCAGCUCUUCGUUCUCACUCGCAACCGCACUCGGUCGUCUGCUGUCUCAGUCUGCCUAUUCAUCGAAAUUGGUAAAGUGGAAUAUUUUGACGAGCCGUGCGCUCAGCAGAUGUGAAAAAAGAUGAAGAUGACAAGGAAUUGUACGCAUCGAGUGUAUCUGUAUUUUUCAAAUGCAAAAUUCCACGUUUUCAAGCAAAAA